ensembl:lncRNA
CUUCUCAACCCCUCCUCUCUCUCUCCCCCUCUCACUGGCUCUCGCUUAUACGGUAGCUGUCGUUCUCGUGCGCUUGGACUGUGCUCUUGUGAGAAUCAGAGCCGCUGAGGCACGCGUAAUCAACUGCGUAUUAGCGGCAAUUUUAAACCGAAAGCAGCCUGUGCACGCCGGCUUCAUACCUACAGCAGGAGAUGCAUCUGGUCACGUCGACUUCGGCAUAAUUAUAAAAAACCUUUGCUCAAGGAAUGCUGGCCAGAGACAUACUUUGAGGUGACAGUCAUGCAGCCUCUGCCAGUAUUCUCCCAUACAGAGGGAUGGUUUGAAACAGAAAGAGUCAUUUCAUCUGAAAAGCCACCAGUGGUGAACCCCCUCCAGGUAAAUGCAAUGCUGGUUACACCAGCUGCAGCAACUCUUUCUGGACAUCCA